GAUGUACGCUGGCGGCGUGCCUAAUACAUGCAAGUCGGGCGAACGGACGAGAAGCUUUCUUCUCUGAUGUUAGCGGCGGACGGGUGAGUAACACGUGGAUAACCUACCUAUUAGACUGGGAUAACUUCGGGAAACCGGAGCAAAUACCGGGUAAUAUUUUGAACCGCAUUGUUCAAAAGUGAAAGACGGUCUUGCUGUCACUUAUAGAUUGAUCCGCGCUGCAUUAGCUAGUUGGUAAGGUAACGGCUUACCAAGGCAACGAUGCAUAGCCGACCUGAGAGGGUGAUCGGCCACACUGGAACUGAGACACGGUCCAGACUCCUACGGGAGGCAGCAGUAGGGAAUCUUCCGCAAUGGGCGAAAGCCUGACGGAGCAACGCCGCGUGAGUGAUGAAGGUCUUCGGAUCGUAAAACUCUGUUAUUAGGGAAGAACAUAUGUGUAAGUAACUGUGCACAUCUUGACGGUACCUAAUCAGAAAGCCACGGCUAACUACGUG
rnacentral:rRNA from 1 species